rnacentral:rRNA from 1 species
AGAGUUUGAUCCUGGCUCAGAACGAACGCUGGCGGCGUGGCUAAGACAUGCAAGUCGUACGGAUCAUUUCAUUGGGUAACCGAAGAGAUGAUUAGUGGCGAAAGGGUGAGUAAUGCAUAGGUAACGUACCCCGGACACCUGGGAUAGCGGCGGGCCUUCGGGCCCUUUAGCGAAAGUGCCGGUAAUACCGGAUAAUAUCCUGAUAUCGCAUGGUGUUGGGAUCAAAGGCUUCGGCUGGUUUGGGAGCGGCCUAUGUCGUAUCAGCUUGUUGGUGAGGUAACGGCUCACCAAGGCAGCGACGCGUAGCGGGACUGAGAGGUCGAUCCGCCACAUCGGGACUGAGACACUGCCCGGACCCCCACGGGGGGCUGCAGUAACGAAUAUUGCGCAAUGGACGAAAGUCUGACGCAGCGACGCCGCGUGCAGGAUGAAGCCCUUCGGGGUGUAAACUGCUGUCAGGGCUAAGAAAGGUGCGCCUCGGCGCAUUUGAUCGAUCCCAAAGGAAGGACCGGCUAAAUUCGUGCCAGCAGCCGCGGUAAUACGAAUGGUCCAAGCGUUGUUCGGAAUCAUUGGGCUUAAAGAGCACGUAGGCGGGAGAUUAAGUGUCUUGUGAAAUCCCUCGGCUUAACCGAGGAAUAGCGGGACAUACUGGUUUCCUUGAGGCAAGUAGGGGUGUGUGGAACUACAGGUGGAGCGGUGAAAUGCGUAGAUAUCUGUAGGAACGCCAGCAGAGAAGUCGGCACACUGGGCUUGUACGGCUUUCCCGUCAUAUUUAUAUGAUCGGGAAAACCCUUCUGACGCUGAGGUGCGAAAGCGUGGGGAGCGAAGAGGAUUAGAUACCCUCGUAGUCCACGCCGUAAACCAUGUCUACUAGGUUGCGGAGGUUCUGACGCCAUCGCAGCCGUAGCAAAAGCAGUAAGUAGACCGCCUGGGGAGUACGGUCGCAAGGCUAAAACUCAAAGGAAUUGACGGGGGCUCACACAAGCGGUGGAGCAUGUGGCUUAAUUCGAAACAACGCGAAGAACCUUAUCCUGGGUUUGACAUGCUUGGAUGCCCGCUAUGAAAGUAGUUGGGCUGCCUCCGGUGAAACUUGCACAGGUGCUGCAUGGCUGUCGUCAGCUCGUGUCGUGAGAUGUCGGGUUAAGUCCCUUAACGAGCGAAACCCUUAUCGUUAGUUACCAGCGGGUUAUGCCGGGGACUCUAGCGAGACUGCCGGUGUCAAACCGGAGGAAGGUGGGGACGACGUCAAGUCCUCAUGGCCUUUAUGCCCAGGGCUGCGCACGUGCUACAAUGGCGACCACAAACCGAAGCAAUACCGUGAGGUGGAGCAAAUCGGAAAAAGGUCGCCCCAGUUCGGAUUGUAGGCUGCAACUCGCCUACAUGAAGUCGGAAUCGCUAGUAAUCGCAGAUCAGCUACGCUGCGGUGAAUGUGUUCCUGAGCCUUGUACACACCGCCCGUCAAGUCACGGAAGCUGGGAGUACCUGAAGUCGGGUAGUCAACCCCGCAC